ACUUCACCAUGACCCUCAGUUAUGGGGAGACGAUGCCCAUGUUUUCAAACCGGAGAGGUUCGAGGAAGGGAUCGCGAAAGCUACCAAGUACAAUGCGGCUGCAUUUAUUCCUUUCGGAAUGGGACCUCGAGCUUGUGUCGGGAUGACCUUUGCAAUCAAUGAAACAAAGACUGCUCUUUCCAUGAUUCUACAAAGAUACACCAUUUCUCUCUCCCCUGCGUAUGUUCACUCACCCGCACCUCGUAUCACAGUUCAACCACAACAUGGGAUUCAAGUUAUGCUCAAUUCACUGUCUAAUGAUGCUUAAACUAGGCGCUGUUCAUCUGUAACGCCGUAAUCAAUAAGUAAACUCUAGUGUCGGACUCUAGUAAUGUUUGUUCAGUUUGACCUGCCAUGCACUUUGCCAAUUCCCCAUGUUCGCAUGUCUGUGAAUGUUAGGUUGUAGAAUUAUUAGAGUUCUUUAUUUUCUCUAAAAUAUAUAUGUAAAUGCUUCUAUUAGAUCCGGAGAUCUGAUAUGAGAACAUAUCCAAAUAUAUUAGGAGACUUCAAGAAGUUUAGUUUAAUCGUAUUGAUUCAAUUUGGUAACAUUACAAGAAAGCAGUAGCAUACAUAUCAAAAUUUAUUAUACUAUAUCUCUUAAGAAACGCCCAAUGAAGUUGAUGAUAAACACGAAAAAUCCUAAGCAAUUUAGUUAUUCAGUAAACUCCUUAUAACUACGUUGUGGGAUAUCCUUGAUGAUAUCCCGUAAAAGAUCGAAGUAGAGGGGCAACUGUGCAAGUGCAAAGAAGGAAACAGGCAAACUUGUCACUGUGUAAAUCGGUAAAGCUGCAAACUUUAGCCUAUCUCUAAGUUCGAAGAAAUGGCCUGCACAAAAUGAGACUAGUAUUGCAGUUAUUGGAGUGAACAAUGCUGUUAGGCCGAUAAUGAGUCUCCAGGGCAAUUUACAAGCAAAAUCUCUCUUCCAAUCGGGAAGUCAGGAUUGCUAGGAAAAAUACCAAUGCAAUUUAAGUCCGAACUAGGUAUAUAUUAACACUUUUUAUGUUUGCUCAAAUUUGGCCUUACUUGAAAUAAGUACUUAAAAUUUUGCUGAAGUCCAUUCAUAUUUUGUAAAUAACUAACUCAAACUCAUUUUAAUCUUGUCUAUAUUAUUUAAAAAAUAUUAAUUUUUAUAUUAUUUUUAAUUUAAUAUUUAAUAAUUUUAUAAUAAAUUAAAAAUACUAAAAAUAUCAAAAUAAAUAUUUCUCAAUAAAUUGAAAAUAAAUUUUAAAAAAUAUGUAUAUUUAAAUGAUAUUAAAAUAGAUGUAACUUAACAAAUAGAUACCUCUAAAUAAUAACAAAAUUAACAAUAAAAUAUGUUUUAUAUAAUAUCCAAACAAGAGUAAUAAAAUAGUGGGUUUUUUACAAAAUUAUUAUAAAAAAAUAAAAAUUUACCAAAAUAUUAUAACUUUUUUUAUUUACCAAAUAUUAUAUAUUUUUUAUUUACCAAAAUAUACUAAAAAACAAAAAAAACCUGACAACAGCCUGAUCAGGCGAAUCACAUUGGCGGCACCAAAGGUGCCAAAGAGAUUGGCGGCACCAAUGGUGCCAAAAGACUAAAAUGUAACUAUCUGCAGUUUCAAGGACCUGACAUGCAAAUUUACCAUUUUAAAUUUUGAAAGUUAAUUGAUGCUGUGCGUGUGGGGCACACUAAAAUUAAAAUGUGGCUAAUUGUCUUCUAAGCCCUCAUUAUUUAUUAUUUUCUUUUUAUUCCUCUUCAACUCACUUUUUUAUUUAAUAAACAAGCCCUCAACCUAUUUUUGUAGUUAAAUAAGCUCUUAAUCUAUGAUUUUUACUCAUAAAAGUCCUCAAACUAAUUCGCAUUUUAUGUAUUAUUUUGGUAAUUUGAUGAGAACAGUUUAUUUAAAAAAUUUAGUAAAUUUGAUGAGAAUAGUUUAUAAUUAUAAUUUAUUUUUUCUAUUUGGGUUACAUUUAUGGGUGAUCAGUUUUAUUUUAUUUCUGGUUUUUCAAUAAGGCAUGCCUGGUAUUUCUAUUAAUUUUUUAAUUAAAUCUAAUAUUAGUUAAGUGAUAAUUAUGAUACUUAGAAUUCUAAUUAAGUAAUAACUCUAUUUUAAUUAAAUAAACUAUUCUCAUUUAAUAACUCUAUUUUAAUUUUAAAAAAUUAAGUAAACUAUUUUAAUUUAAUUUUUUUAAAUUAAAAUAGAGUUAUUAAAUGAGAGAAUUCUAAUUAAGUAAUAACUCUAUUUUAAUUUAAUAAACUAUUCUCAUUUAAUAACUCUAUUUUAAUUAAAAAAAUUCGAUGAGAAUAGUUUAUUAAAUUAAAAUAGAGUUAUUACUUAAUUAGAAUUCUAAGUAUCUUAAUUAUCACUUAACUAAUAUUAGAUUUAAUUAAAAAAAUUAAUAGAAAUACCAGGUAUGCCUUAUUGAAAAACCAGAAGUAAUAAUAAAACUGAUCACCCAUAAAUGUAACUCAAAUAGAAAAAAUAAAUUAUAAUUAUAAACUAUUCUCAUCAAAUUACCAAAAUAAUACAUAAAAUGUGAAUUAGUUUGAGGGCUUUUAUAAGUAAAAAUCAUAGAUUAAGAGCUUAUUUAACUACAAAAAUAGGUUGAGGGCUUGUUUAUUAAAUAAAAAAGUGAGUUGAAGGGGAAUAAAAAGAAAAUAAUAAAUAAGGAGAGCUUAGAAGGCAAUUAGCCACAUUUCAAUUUUAGUGCGACCCACACGCACAGCGGCAGCAAUUCACUUUCAAAAUUCAAAAUAGUAAAUUUGCAUGUCAAGUGCUUGAAACUGCAGAUAGUUACAUUUUAGUCCUUUGACACCAUUGGUGCCGCCAAUGUGAUUGGCCUGAUCAGGCUGUUGUUAGGUUUUUUUUUCUGUUUUUUGUUUUUUUUGUAUAUUUUGGUAAAUAAAAAAAUUAUAAUAUUUUGGUAAAUAAAAAAAAGUUAUAAUAUUUUAGUUAUUUUUUAUUUUUUUUAUAAUAAUUUUGUAAAAAACCCAAUUAAAUGAUAUGUGUUUAUUUAGAAUUUUAAACUUUUAUAAAAUUUUAUGAAUUUUUGUCUUUUUAUAAGAACCUAGAAUUCCAAACAAACACGUUUCUAUAAAAAGACAGUAAUCAAUAAUAGAGGGGAGAAGCGGUUGAAGUGAUAAAGGAGAGUUUGUAGAUGUUCACAUUUGUUUCAUUUGUUUAAGAGGGUUUCUUUCUAAACAAAAAAAUAAUAAUAAAAAAUGUUCAAACAGAAAAAAUAAAAAAUGUGUUUUGUUCUCACGAAAUUUUAGAUUUUAUGAAAUUUAUCAUAUUUUCUUGGAAAUAACAUAAAUUUCUUAAAAUAUAUAAAAAAUUUCAGAAAAGGAAAAAAUAAAUUCAAAAGAAAAUACCAUAAAUUUUUUUAAAAAAUUCAUAAAAGUUUACAAAAACUUAAAAUUCUAAACAAGCAUAUUUUUUUAAAAAAAUUAUGAUUUUUUUUAAUUAUUCAAGUUCCACAUACUUAUCAUUUAAAAUUUUUUUAUAAUAUUCAAAAAUAAAUUAUCAUUUUUUAUAAUUUUACAAGUUUUAGUUUUUUUGGUAUUUUUAAUAUUUUUUAUUUUUAAUAAUUUUUUAAAUUUUAAGUAAUUUUGUUAAGUGCAUGAUAAUUCGAUUAAAUUUUUUAAUAAAAAACAAGGUUGAGAUAAAAAGUUAUACAAAAUAAAGAGUCAUCUUUAUUAAUUUUUAAAAAAAAUUAAGAAUAUAUAAAUACAAAAUAAAGAAUAUACAAAAUAAUACAGACUUUAGUUGUAUUCGAAUGAGAAAAAGAGGUAUGAAGCAAAAUUUAAUUGGAAAAUGAAAAUAAGGGUUCUUGAACUCCGCAAAAUUCAUUGCUAUUUGAUUCUCAUAUUCUUCCUCUAAUUUUCUUUCUUCAAAAAUUGAAUAACAAAUAAUUAUGCUUCGAAGCAAUUUUUUUAGAAUAUUUCGAAAUUUUUUAUUUAUUUUUAUGUAUUUAUAAAUUCUUACUUUCUUUUUAAAAAUUUAUAAUUUUUAUAUAUAAACAAGGUUAAUUCAAUAAAAUUAUAAAAAUUAAAAUUAAAAUUAUUAUAUUAAUUAAAAAAUGACUAGUCAUCUUUUGUUAGUCACUUUAAUGGUUAAGUCACUAAAACAGACAAUUCAAAAUAUUAAUAUAUUAAAUUUUAUUAAUAAAUUAUUUUUAAUAUUUUAAUAAUCAAUAUUAAUAUAAACAACCAUUUUUCAUGCGACGAGUGUAUAAUCAUACUGGAGCACAUGACAUUACAACUCGGUCUACCGGUGGAUGGGUCAGUCGUCACGGGAGCAACGAUCAUUUCUGGUAAAGAGGAUCUCUACACGACAUUAUUGGGGAAGGUCCUGAACAAGUUUGAUGGUGGUCGGAUAUCGAUGAAUUUGAUGACGAAAAAUGUAAAUAAGCUUCCUGCGGAUGCCACCGAGGUCAUCAAAGUACAAUACGCCCAAACAUUCAUCCUUUAGUCAAUCGAGGGCAUUCUAAUGCUCAAUAAAUCUCAAAAUUUGGUACACAUAAAGUGGCUACUACACCCAAUAGACUUCAAAGAAUAUGGACAACUAAGUUGAGGAUCAGCCGUGUUGGCCACAUUAUAUCGGGAGUUGUGUUGGGCCACGAAAUCGAAUAAGAUGUCAAUCGGUGGUUGCCUACUCCUGUUCCAGUCGUGGGCCUGGUGGCGACUACCAUUUCUACGUCCUCAAGUCAACAACCCAUACAUGUUUCCAUUGGUGACAAGGUAAAAAUCAUUUAUUAAUAAAUACGUAGUUUUUACAGUAAAUGUUUUUAUUCAUUAUAUGUUUGAACUAACAUAUCGCUUUUACAAGUGGAACCAUGAGCCGAGUUACGUAGGACUAUUCGAGGACCUGGAAGAUAUUAGGCUGCUGUUAGAUCAACGCUCGGAAGCCAAUGUUAGUUACUUAUUCUUUCAAACCUAUAUUAAUUACGCAAUGAUUUGUAAAAUAAAGUUUCGUACUAAUGAAAUUUACAAUUGUGUGUUUUAGUUUGAAUGGAUGUCAUACGUCGACACUGAUAUUAUAUCUUGCAUCUCGCCAAAAGUGUUGGUCAAUCAAGGGAUGUGGGACGCGAAAGUGUCAUUGAUAAUGUACGCGACAGUGGAUAUACAAAAAUCGGAUAGAGUGAUACGACAGUUUGGGUAUCGGUAAUAAAUUCCACCGGUACAGUGAGACUUGAAGGAGUUGCACAAGGUGGACACGCGAGGGUAAAAUGACCAGGAUUGGCGAGAGAUGCACAAGGACUACAUUGAGGCUUAGGAUCAAAAAAUGGAAUUCAUACCCAUCCGCGAACCAUUUUUCUAAGCAGAUACAGCGGCCUGUUUAGAGUACUUGUCGUGGUUCAGAGUUGUCGGCAAGUCGUAUUUGCUAUCGAUAUAGGUGAAGAGUAGGAAACAUCAUCAGAAGAGGCAACGAUGACUGCCCCAGCAAUAGCGUAGGGCCAGACGUGAUUGCACAAUGAGUUCGUUAUUGGCUCCACCCGAAGAAGUGUCACCUAUGUCUACGCAAUAUUCCGGUCAGUUCACUCUACUUAUUCCUGUUCAUUUCACUAACGCUGUGUUUUUUCACAAGCACUACACUACGUAACACCAUCGCACAUGCUCGGUUCUUCUGUUUCCGUAGGUACAUAUUUUGGGGCACCAAUAUCCCCCGUAUUCUACACCCCGAUGCCAAUGUCGACGUCGACCCCGAUGUCGGGCUAGAUGUUGAUGCAUGCACUAUUAUCGAUGAUGACACCGAUACAAACGUCGAUGUCAAUAUCGAUGCCUGGGUCAAUAUCGAUGUAUCUGGGUUUUAUGGCACCUUAUGGUUGCACACUGAUAGCGACACAAACACCGUCCGCAUCAUUGUUUUAUCAAGGUGGGUCAUUGGUGCAAUUGUCUGUCGAUGGAGUGGAGGAUACAUGAAGGGAGACUAGGACGACAUCACACUCGAGCAUAUUGGAAGGCGAUGUGACAAAGGCAAAGGCAAAGACAAAGAUGAAUAUGAAGACAAACACGAAGACCAAAACCAAGACCAAGAUGAACAUGAUGACGAUGAUGGAGACGAAGAUGAGCAAGAGGGUAGAGGUGAAGGCGAUGAUGAUAAGGACGACGACAAUGAGGAAGUUUAUAGGCCCGCAUCUCCGGUUGUGUGCAGAAAUCCUUCUCGCGAGCAUUGUCCACUACCCUGCAGCACACAUUCUCCCCCAUGACACAAUUGAUGUAUUCUUUUUUUUACUAUUACGAUGUAAAUAUAUAUGACAUAAAUAAAGAAACCAUAAAUUUUCAUUCCAAUACUAUAUUGUAUUAAUUACAUUUUAAAGUGAGUUAUGCAUAUGUUAAUAAAAAAAUAAAAAAUUUGGAAACUAGAAUAGUAGAAGCAUUGUAAUGAAUAUAUUCUCUAAAAGAAAAUAAUGCUAUUGACAUUGAGGCUCCAAAGUUCCCCUCAACACAGAACAUGUUGCCUUUGUAUGCCCUGGAUUCCUUGUAACGCCCCAAAAUUUUUAAUUUUGUUAUUGUGAAAAUAUGACAAAAAUAUUUUUCUGCUUCAGUGGUUAAGUGUUUUGAGUGUGUGUAUGAGGUCCCAAGUUCAAGCCUUGACUUGGGAAAAUUUUGGUAUUUUUAUGAGUAAAGCCUUAUCUCUGGUCAGUAGGCUUAUAGUUAAAAGUUGGUAAAAAUAUAUCAGAAUGGGUUUGCUGGUCUGGUGGUUAAGGUGUGUGUUGGCGAGUGGGAGGUUUGGAGUUCAAGUCCUUGCGCGAGCAAGGGAAUUAUUUUUUGUUUCUUGGCCAUGUGGCGUGGUGGAGUCCUAGUCAAAUUGAAAUUUCGAGUAAUGGAGUUGUUAUGGGAGGUUAGGGAGAGAAUUAAGGAGAUGAGUUGCCAGAUUUUUAGGCAUUAUCUUUUUGUUUAGUCUUUUUUCCAAAUUUCGAACUCAUUUCCAUCUUUUUGACGUUUUCUCUCUUUUCUCACACUUUCAAUUUUUGGUUUUCCUCUUUUUUCUAAAUAAUAAAUCCUUGCUGCUGAAUUUCCUUUGAAUUCCCCUUCCGUUUUGUUGUCUUUCUUCAUCUUUUCCCCUUUGUGCAAGCAUACAAUUGUGUUGUACGGUAAGUUUUCAUUUCAUUAAACUCGACUGCUAAUCUAGAUAAAGGAUUAAGGGGUGUUUUGUUGACUGUUUAGGAGUCGAUUGUGAGACUGGAAUUAACAUUCGUCGAUUUGACUCGAAGUGGUGAUCAUUUGGUAACCGUAUAGGGUAUGCGUUUUCUUAUGUUGUUUGGGCGAGUGGUUUUGGCUUUGAAUUUGUUCUUAAAUUUGUUGAACACUUCGUUAAUGAGGAAUGGUUAUUUUUACAGCGGCGAAUCCUUUCGGUUGCUAUCUCCUUCAUGUUGAGUACUGGUGGAAUUGUGCGAAGUUAGAAGGUUUUUGGUGGUCUCGGGAGUGCGUAAACAACAAAAAUGAUACAGGUGUGUACCUGAAACGCAAAAAAUGGGAUUUUGAAAAAAGCUGAAAUUGCUUGUUGUCGAGAAAUAAGAGAAAAUGAUGCGAAAAAUUGUAGAGAAAGGAAAUAAGGGUGUUAUAAUCUUGGAAAUCACCAUUCUACAUUAAAAUAGUUUUGGAUAGCAGCAGUAGUCUAACUUUGAAAUAUCAUCUAAAAUAGUGAAAAUUGAGUUAGAGAUUGAAUAAAUUAUAAAAUUAAAUUUUAUUGAGUCUAGUUUUUCAUGAAAGAAACAGUGUAAGCAAUGAAAUUGUAAGUCAUGAGAUAUAAUGAAUUUUGUGAGACAAGGUCAGAAUGGUUUCGGGUUCCCCUGUUUUGACUUUGGAAAAUCAUCAAAAAUUGUAAAAAAAAUAAUUAAGGGCUUAAGUCUAUAUUUUUAAAUCUUUAAUUAGUCUAUUUUCAAGAGAAACAAACAGAAACAUCAUCCAAAUUUCAUACUAUGAGAUAAAUAAUUUUUAGUAAGAAAAGGUUGAAGCUGUCAAAUAGCAGAAUAGGGAUAACUUUGAAGAUUUUACUGUACUUAUUUAAUAAGCAAUAAAUUCUAAAAAUUUUAUGGUAGAAAUUUAUUUGAGUCUAGUUUCGAAAACAUCAAGUGGAUCUUAAUUUGGGAUUCUAUAGCUCAAGAUAUAAAUAAUUUAGUGACAAUGACUCAAGUAGACAGCUCUGAAUGAUCAUAUAAGUAAAUAGUGAGAAGAUAUAUGAAUAUUUAGCUAGCAUAGGUUACAUUAAAAAUGGAUCACACGGCUAAGGCCAAUUUGGGCUGAGUGGGCCAUAUGGGCACACACGGGCGUGUAGGCCCAUUAUUACCGAAAUGAUUCUAAGGUUGCAUGGGUCGCCCAAGUCGACUGUGAACCUACUGUAAGGUCAGUAAGCGCUACUUAAACCCCUAAAUGUGUGAAAUUGACUGAAUGAUAUUUUACUGAGCAUUUUAAUAUCUGAACCGAAUAUAUGUUCUGAAAUUGCAUAAUAGCAUAUCAUCCAUUGUAUGUUGCAUUGCAUUGGGUUGGGGGAUGUUAUUCGGAGGAAGUGUACUGAAAGGCUUUAAGCCUAAUUUACUGGCAGCUCAGCUGCAAACUACUGUUUUGUGCCACAUCGAUACUACUUAGAGUGUAGGGAUGGGUGGGUUGAUUAUAUCCCCACAUGGAGGGUAGGGUUGGACGAAGAUGGUGUGUAGAGGCGGGAUGGGUAGGAUUUUUCUACUGCAUAACUGUUACUGCUAUUGAUGCUAUGAUGGGCUAAGGCCCUACUACAUUUUUGACACUGUACUGAGAUAGGCUAAGGCCCAAACUGUCACUGAUACUGAAAAGGGCUUAGGCCCAAGGCUGUUCAACUGUGCACUAUGAAUACUAAUUGUUUGUUUGUUUCUACGGGAUUACACACUGAGUUUACGUAAACUCACCCUUUUUGUUAAAUGUGCACAGGUAAUCCCUAGACUUAAACGGUUCGGUAUGACGGAGGACUCAGCGGUGAUCACAAAAAUUUUUGGACUUCAUGAUUUUAAAUUUACGUUUUAUGAUUUAAUUAUUAUUGAUUAUUUGGGUUGUAAUUUAAGGACCCUCUGGGAAUUUGGUUUUAAAUUUUGGGUUUUUAUUUAUUUAUUUUACUUUAUGGAUUUAUACCUACUGGUCGUAGGAAAUUCGAUUUUCAAAAUGUUAAAGUAGUUUCUAAACGCAUGAUCACUUAGACUGUUUUAUUAAAGCUUCUGCAACGAGGGAUGUUUCAAAACAAAUGAUUUAAAUGAAUAAAGACGACUUUCUAAGUUCUAACAAAGGUUUACUAAAGAUAAUAACAUGGAAUUUUUUCAACGUAACAACGAGGUUUCAAAAGCACUGUCGUGUGACAUUGUCAGAUACGGCCAUAACGUCUACACUGGGUUUGGGGUGUUACAUUCCUACAGUACCCGCAUAACCUCUAUUGACUAUCCUUCUCCCGAAUAUCCAUAUUGUUCCAUAUCCGAAUGGUAUUCGGGCGACUUUUUGGAACGCGAUGUACGUUCAUGUUCGGUGCCAACUCAUACGGUGCGCUAGACGAUGGCGGCCACGUACUCUCAUUAGGGACGGGUGGGAAUUCAGGACUCCAUAUUUUAUGCAUGCGUUUUAGACUGUACACAUCGUUGAUGUAAGGCGUGUACUCAAUUCUUAAGUUUGCACAUGCGACAAUUACAUGUACGUAUGGGAAUCGAAGUGCUUGGAACCUCCCACAAUCGAAAGCCCCUCCUGUUAGGUCGACAUGAUAUGAUGCCCCUGACAUGCCUUCUUCAAGCCUAGCGUGCUCCGUGACUCAAAAUUUCAGAUUUCGACGGAAGUGACACACUGCAUACAUAGUGUUCGCUUUCGCUAUAUUUCGUCUGAUUUAUUUCAUUACAUCCUCAUACCAAGUAUCUGAUUUCUUUCAUUACAUCAUUACACCAAGUAUGGUCACCCGCUAUUUGUCCAGCGUAUGUCACUGACUUAUUUGGAAACAAUGCAACCAGAUGAAAGUAUGUUUCUUUCACAAUCGAGGUUAUCGACAAGUAAUGCAUCCCCUUUAGUACGGAAUUGAUACACUUGACUAAGUUUGACAUCAUGUGCCCAUACCGUAAACCUCCGCCAUAUGAUUGCGUCCACUGUUCAAAGGGUAUGUUGGCGAGGUAUGCAGCACCGUAGCUAUUGAUGGCACCCAAGUUGUUCAACAUUUCAUGGAAUUGUUGUUGGACGAGCUCACAUCCUGUCAAGAAAAGCAUACCCAUGAAUGCAAACAACGACCAAAAUAGGGUAAAACAUUGCGGUGCAGGUAGUGUUAAUUACAUACCCAUGUCGAUUACUUCAUUUCGCUCACUUUUCGAUAGCCAUUUUGUGUGGUAGUUGGAUCUAACAUGUCGUAAGUAGUACCUAUGAUGAGUACGAUACAAAAGCUACCAUGCCACUCAAUUGCUGACAAGAUUUCGGUUCCCUUGUUAGAUAUGACACAUAUGUUGGGCUACGGGAAAACGCGACAGCGUAUUCGGCUCAGAAAGAAAUCUUAGUUGUCUGUCGUUUCUCUAGGAGUUAUUGUAGACGCAAUCGACAGAAUCCUCCAAUUACCAUCCUGAGGAACGAUAAUCAACAAUUGAUGCUGACUCCUUCUCCUCAACUGCAUUCGCUGUCAUUUUUUCCUCACUUGUAUCUUCUUCCUCAGUCACAUCUUCUUCUUCAUCUGCAUCUUCUUCCUCGGCCAUAUCUUCUUCCUCAUCUGCACCUUCAUUGUCCCUUUCAAGUAAGAGGUUCAAUGUACCCUUGUCACUCCCCGUCGAAAGGAUUAAGUCAUCGGUUCUUCUAUAACCCAUGUGUCCAUCAUAAUCUACACUAGUUUAGAGUAAGUCAUGUGUACGUCGAUGAACCCCUGGUAUAAGUGCUUCCGACCCAUGAUAUUAAACCCGCACUGAAGUUGAAAUCGAAUGCACUAAUUGAAAGACAAACUUGAAUGUCAAAAUUAGGGUUAUAGUCAUACCCCAACUGGUACUGGCUCCCGAAGUUUAGAUAUGUGCCAAAGAUCAACGAAUGUUUACCAAUAGAUGUUUCGAGGACAUCGUAGUAGUAGCUUUGUAACACGCCAGUGAACCCACCACACAACCUUGUAGCAAGACUUUCUGCUUCAGCUUCGGUUCCAACAUUAGAUGCAACGAUGGCCGAAGAUGGGCUAGAUGCAUAAACCUUGGCAAACUCGACGUAUAAGUCCAUUACAACAUUUUACCUUAAAAUGUGCGGUCAUAUAAUCGUCUCGAGCUAGACCUCGUCAUUCACAUCAAAUUCGUCAUACCUGUAAGGGGUCAAUGGAAGCAAGUUAUCUACAUUGCAACCUCAAAAUUCUUUCUCAGGUUGAUCCUCUGACUUUCCUCCUAUUUCUUGUCCAUAGCUCACGCAAUUGAAAGGUAUGAUUGAACGCCAAUUCCACAAACUGUGCUCCUACAAAUAUCACCCAACCUUUGUAUUAUAGAUUUGACCGUCAUAAUAAAAAAUAGAUUUCACUCGUCGACUCAUUUCAAUAUCAGUUAAGAAUUGGAUUAACAAUACCAAAAAAUAAGUAGAUGGUUGUUGAAAGAAAUACACAUAACUCCUACAACUUAACAACUUGAUUUUUUAUGUUAAUUUACUGUGUGUCUAAGUUAUGCAAAUUACGUCUCUUUAAUAGGAAAAUAAGCCAACGAGAGGGAAUAUGAUGUGAGUCUUAAGGCCAAAAAUCAGGCUCAUAAACGUGAUGGGCUCAAAUUUCCUCAAAGCCCAAUAACGAGGUCGAAGGCCAAACAAAUUCGAGCAAUUUUGAACUAGACCAUCCAAGACUUCGUUACCAAGGCCCUAGAUGCGCACACAACCGAAAAAGAAAAUCAAGAGUCACUUUCUUGUUUUCAAGAAAAUCAAGAAAUCGAAUCUUGGUCUAAUUUUGCUAUUUCAGACAAUUUCAAGAAUCAAGAAAAUCAAGAUUUCAAAUCUGGGUCCAAGAAACUGAAUCUUGUAGCCAAGGCGCAUUGGAUUUCAUGUACAAGCUAAUUUCUAAAGCAAACGGAUCACAAGAUCAAGUUCUUGAAUAAAUGACCCAUUAAGAUGUCUACGAGUCCAUCAUGAAGUUUGGAAAGUAAUUUAAUUGAAUAUUAGGCCAAAUUAUCAAAGUGGCCCAAGUUGUAAAAUAUUUAAACUAUAGGUCCAAUUUUAUUUUAAUAGGUGGAUCAUCAAGUAAGAAUUCGAUCCAAUGAGCCCAUUUAAUUCCUUUGGUUGAAUUGCCAUUAAAAGUCCACACUUAAAUUUAUUUUGUUUAAUUUAUUUGAUGAGUUGUCAUGUUAAUUAUUCCAUUAGGGUUAGGAAAACUUAUUUUAGGGCCUAUAGGUAGCAUGAAUGUCCACCCUUAUAGAUGAACAAUUGAUUUUUUGUUUUUUUUAAAGUUAAUAAUAAUUCUCUUUGAGUUUUUCUUCAAAAAUUGUCAUUGAGUUUCUUUUAGAAGUUGUUUUAACAAUGUUUUAGGUUGUGGGAAUCAUCUUCAAGCUUUUUCUUGCCAAGAUCUUUUUCUUGGAGGAGGGAUUAGAGCCAUUGAAAGGAUUUGUGGAUUCUUAAUGUUUCCAAGGCUUCUUAGGACGUCAUCUUCUCUUUUCUAGCAUUAAUUUAUCGUUUUUUGUUUAUUUUAAUUUAAUUCUUUCUAUUUUUUCUUACUGAUUUUAUUGACUUUUGUUCUAGGUUAAAAUUUCUUGAAGAGACAUUCUCCUAUCUUGUUCCAUCAGGAAACAUAUCAAAAUUAGGAAUUUUAAUCUUUUAUUAUUGUUUCAAACAUUCUUGCACAAAACAAUUUGCUUUUGUCUUUAAAAUCACUUCUAACAAAUAUGUUUUGUGUUUUGUUUUUCCAGAUCUAGUUGGGACAUUUUUCUUGAGGUCCAGGACAAUUUCUUUCCAUCUAAGAAACUCUAAUUCGUUCUCUAUUGGACUCUUUACCAGUCAGUUGAUCUUUCUUGUAACAACCCAUUUUUAAUGGUGUUGAAAAUAGUGGUUUCGAGACCACGACUCUGAUGAGUGAGUUAUUAUUUAAUUAUUUAUUUAAUUUCUAUAGAUUAAAUUUUUGUUAAGAAAAUUUAAAGUUUAAAUGGUUAAUUAGGUAAAAAGGACUAAAUUGAUAAAGGUACAAAAGUUGAGUUCUUUUAUUUAAGUGGAUUAAAUAACUUUAGCAAGGUAAAUUAAUGGAUUUAUAUGGUAAAUAUACCACAUUUAAAGUUAGUCGAUAUGCAUGGAUAGGUUUUAUUGUAAAUUAUGUGAAUCUAAAAGGUUAAAAUGGUAAAUUAAUAAUUAAAAGAAAAAUAAACUAACCAAAAGUGGUCAUCUUCUUGAAUUAACUCUCCAAAAUCGAAUAGCCAUAAAAAAAGGGUGAGUAGCUUUCGAUCAUGGUGUUUUUCCUUGCAUGAUCAAGGUACUAAUCAACCGGACUUAGACCGAGGAAAAGCUAAAAUGGUGGAUUAGUCAUCAGCCUCGUUUUCACAACUGUCUUAUCGAGGAGUUGGGUUGAAAUACAUUUGGCAUUACUGAAUUCUUGAAAAGGUUAUAUCCAAAACGAAUAUCAAAUGAAAAGGUUGUUACCCUAAAAAGGUUAACAUAUGAAAAGGUUAUAUCGAAAACGAAUAUCUAAUGAAAAUGUUGUUACCCUAAAAGGGUUAACAUAUGAAAAAGUUAUAUUCGAAACGAAUAUCAAAUGAAAAGGUUGAAAAGGUUGUUACCCUAAAAGGGUUAACAUAUGAAAAGUUUUAUUGAAAAGGAUUUAUGGUAAGAACCCAUUUAGUUAAGGUUUGUAUGAAAUUUUAAUUUGAUUAUGUAUUUAGUUACUAACUUGAGAUGUGAUAUGUAUAGGAAGAAUUGUACAUAUAGUAAUUGAAAUGCUUGAAUGGUUAAUCAUGAAAUCAUGUUUUCGAUAAGUUGAGUUCUUUUAAACGAACUUACUAAGCAUUGUUGCUUAUGUACUUAUUUUGUUUUGUUUUGUAGAUCAUUGGAGACUUGAUCGGUUGGAAUCUUGUUGGAGACCUAUCAUACUAUCCAACAAGCAAUUUGGUAGAUUUUGAGUUAUUUUGGUUGGUAGAAAAUGACAUGUAUAGGGCUUAAAUGUAAUAGGUGUUGUGAAUAUGUUAUUUGGCCAACUUGGUAUGGAUAUGUUUUUUUUAGUAUAUGUUUGUUUGGACUUGUAAUGCUUACUAAGUACAUGUCUUUUGGUCACUUUUGAGUGAAAUGUAUAUAUAUGACAUGAGAUAUGUUUAUAUGUGGCUGGACUUUUGAAUGCUUGUAGUGGUGAUGAUUUAUACUUAGAUUAAUGUGAUGUUGAGUUGGUAUGAAUUAAGCUACCUUUGAAUGGCAUAUUGGUUAGAAUUUAUAGGUUGAUUGAUUUGGUAUGUGUUGAGUGUGUUUAGAGAAUGUUAUGGUCAAUUAAAUGUAUGUGUAAAUGGUGUAUCUUGUUGUGCAAGAAUAGGUAUUGAAAUGGCUUGUUUUAAGGACUUUAUGUGGAGCACAUGACUUGGGACACGGGCUGUCGCACAGCCUGGCUACACGGCCGUGUGCCACUUUUUAUUUUAGGUGCAGGUUUCACACGGUCUAAGACACUGCCAUGUGUAUCAAGUCAAUGAGUUACACGGUCUGUAACACGGCCGUAUGACCCAAGUCAGUGAGUUACAUGGGCUGGGACAUGGUCAUAUGUCCCAUUGUUCGAAUGCCCACAUGGUCUGGGCUAUGUCACAUGGCCAUAUGACCCCUGUUUCAAAAUUUUCAACUUUUUUCCUAAUUUUUCUACUUUAUUUUAAAUUAGUCCCAAAUUGAUCCCAAACUGUUCUUAAGGCCUUAAAGGCUCGAUUUAAGACCCAAGUCUGUAUGUUUGCUAGGCUUGAAAUGAGUUUUAAGUAAUAUUAAAUCGCAUUAUUAAUCUGUUUUGAAGUUAAUUGUUCUAAAUUGUACAAUAAUACUUCGUACCCUAAUCCGGUGACGGAAACGAGUUAGGGGUGUUACAUUUCGUUUGACUCUCUUUUGUGACAACUAAUUUAUUUUCGUUGUUUCUUGAUUCAAAUUACGUUUGUUUAGAGAUCUAGGUUAAGUUUGAAACUUAGACAAGCUACGAUCUUGUUCUGCAUGCAUGUCGUAUCAUUCUUUAUAAUUUGGUAUCAAAUUUGGGCGUUUUGGGUGUUCAUGUUUGAUUUAUAAACUGAUUUCCAUUGCAAAACAGCCUAUAAGUAGUUUGUACCCAGAAUUUUUUUUGAAUUAUUUUUUGAGUGGUUAAGCAUUUUUCAAUUGAUCUAAAAUUUUAUAAAUUGAUUCUUGGCACUGUAUUACAAUAUAAAAAUAUUUCCCAAGAAAAAAGUGAUCGAAAAAGUAUAGAAAAAAGGAAAUACAAAAAAAUUUCUGUGGGUUGAAUUUUUUUUCAAAACUUUCCAAAUCAGAUCUACAUUAUUUAAGGAGGUUCUAGUUUAAAUUUCGUGAUUUUUUGAAAUCAGUAACAACUCAAACAAAAUUUUUCAAGCUGCUUCGCAAUUUUUCGAGUUUUCAGGUUUUAACAAUUUUUAAUGACUUUUAGCCUUUGGUUUUCAUUUGUUUUUUCUUUUUAUUGUUCCUAUACACAUUCUAACACUUUAUUGUUUCUUGUGUUAGUAGGUUAAAGCACGUUGCACAUUCCUUCCUCGGUGCAACACAAUUCUUUGGUGUCUAACCACUUUUGGACUCUUAGUGCCGUUAAGAUAUUUGGUUGCUAGAUUCUUUAACAUUCUGAUUGAUUGUCAUAAAUACUCCUAAAGGACUCACAAGAUUAAUUCUUACCUUAUUGAGAAUUCAAUUUUAUUUUUGAGUGCGUAACGGUGAUAUUUGUUUAAGUUUUUUCUUUUUGAGUGCUGUGUUUUUUUAGAUUUGUCACAAUGUCUCGUAGUGGCAAAAAAAGUGAUGACCAGAGUGGCACACCACUAGUGACCAUCGAAAAUCUUACUGGUUUCGCAAUGAAAUUACAAUGUGACCUCAAUGAAGUCAAUGAUAAGUUCGAACAUAGGCUUGAUAGUUUGCAAUGAAAUCUAGAGGAUUGAAAUGCUUAAGAUCAGAAAUGUGAUACUAUUUUAGACACGAUCAUUAAAAAUUUGGAAUGUCUAAGUACCAAAAUUGAGCAUCGCAAUUAUAAUAAUUAGGGAGAUAUGGUUGAUCAGCCUCGUCUUUGUGCAAAUAAUGCUCGAUGUAUCUCUCGUGCAAAUGACAAGACUUUAGUUAAUAAUGACUGUGGGCAACAUUUUUUUAAGCUAAAUCAAAGCUUUCAAUUUCAGAAUUUCAUGGAAAGAAUGAUCAAGAGACUUAUUGUGAUAGAAAAAGUGAUCAUAAAUUAUUUUGUCAAUUCAAGGGGAGAUGGCCAAACUAAAGGAGGAAUACGAUUAAGCUAUCACCUUUUGUGCAAUGUUAUUAGUGUAGUUCAAAAUAUCAUAAGGGUUUCCAACGUUCAAUUAAAUAUCCAACUAGAGAAGAAAGUAAGUAUGACUUUGUACCUUUUGUUGACUCAUACUCUAGCAGAAAAGAGAUUUGUAAUGGCAAACUUUGUGAACCAGAAAAAGAUGAUAGUGAAAAUUUUUUUCCUUGAAUCUAUUGAGGUAGAUGAGAUAGAAAAGUCUUGUUCUCCUACUAAGAUGUAUUGUACUGAAUUCAAUAUUCAUAAUACUUAUGAGGGGGAUAUGGGAAGUGAGGUGGAAUCAUGUGAAAAUACCAAAAGAAAAGAGACUUUGAGUGAUAAAAGUCUACUUGAUGGUUUAAAUUUGGUGAGUGAAAAUCCAUAUAAGGUAAAAUUGGAGAGUUCUCAAGUGGAAAAAGAAAAUGCCCAUACAAAAGUGAGGAAUGAUUAUGUUUUAACUAACCCUAACUCAAAUUUGUUUAGUGGUGUUUCUCUAUUACAGGAUCUCAAGGAUCCAUUGAUGGACUUCCAAUUAAAGUACUCUGCCAUCGAUAGACGAUUUUACUUAUGGGAGAGAGGUAAGUUGAACAUUGAUACUUCUCUAUAAAUGCUACAAGGUAAGAAAGGUAAGAAAACAUUAGAAAUUGAUUUAAGAAGGCAUACAUUGAAUGUUUUUGAUAAGUAUGCUACUAAUUUUGUUUGUAAAAUAUUUCCUUACAACAUGUUUUCUCGUUGAUCUAAUUUUAUUAAACCCUGGUCUAAAAGUUCAAUUGAUUUUAUGGGUUUAUCUAGGUAUGUCAGUGUUACUUUUGUUGCAUUCGAUAGGUUUAUUAAAUAACUUUAUGUAUUUGAUCUUACAACAAAAUUUUCUACCUUAGACUUUAAAUAUGAAUUUUUAAAUAAUAAUAUUAAACUUCUAGAUUUCGAUUAUUAUGUGAAAUUAUUGACUAAUCUUUGGAAAUUCUUAUGGAUGACCAUGUAUAUUCAAAGAAAGUUACAAAUCAUUUUUUACUUGAACACUUAUGUGCCUAAAAAUUAUUUUUUUAGUGUUGAUACCUUGUUUUUAAAGGAGACAUCCAUGAUCGAAGCUAAUUUGUAGGAUUGAAAUAAUGCCUUUGAUCCUGGAGAUAGUUUUGGCGCAUAAGAAAGUUUAGGUAAGUAUUUUUUUGUUAUUUAUUCUAAUACCUUUUGUUUUUGUGUAGUUAGAGAUUCGAGGAUUAAUCUUAUUGAGGAAGGGAGGAAUGAUGCGAGUCUCAAGGACAAAAAUCAAGCUCAUGAACGUGAUGGGCUCAAAUUUCCUCAAGGCCCAAUAACGAGGUCAAAGGCCAAGUAAAUUCGAGGAAGAUUGAAUGGGCCCAUCCAAGACUUCGUUACCAAGGCCUUAGAUAUGCACACUAUCGAAAAAUAAAAUCAAAAUUCACUUUCUUAUUUUCAAGAAAAUCAAGAAACCGAAUCUUGGUCCAAUUUUUCUAUUUUAGACAAUUUCAAGAAUAAAAAAAAAUCAAGAUUUCAAAUCUUGAAAAUCUUGGUCCAGGAAACUGAAUCUUGCAGCCAAGGCGCAUUGGAUUUCAUAUAUGAGCUUGAAUGAGCCAAUUUCGAGAGCAAACGGAUCACAAGAUCAAGUUCUUAAAAAAUGACCCAUUAAGAUGUCUACAAGUCCAUCUUGAAGUUUGAAAAGUAAUUUAAUUAAAUAUCAAGCCAAAUUAUCAAAGUGGCCCAAAUUGUAAAAAUAUUUAAACUAUAGGUCCAAUUUUAUUUUAAUAGGUGGAUCAUCAUGUAAGAAUUCAACCCAAGGAGCCCAUUUAAUUCCUUUGGCUGAAUUCCCAUUAAAAGUCCACACUUAGAAUUAUUUUGUUUUUUUUUAUUUGAUGAGUUGUCAUACUAAUUAUUCUAUUAGGGUUAGAAAAACUUAUUUUGGGGGUUUAUAAGUAGCAUGGACAUCCACCCUUAUAGGAUGAACAAUAGAUUUUUUUUAAGUUAAUAAUAAUUCUCUGAGUUUUUCUUCAAGAAUUGCUCUUGAGUUUCUUUUAGAAGUUGUUUUAACAAUCUUUUAGGUUGUAGAAAUCAUCUUUAAGCUUUUUCUUGCCAAGAUCUCUUUCUUGAAGGAGGAAUUAAAGCCAUUGAAAAGAGUUGUGGAUUCUUAAUGUUUCCAGGGCUUCUUAGGACGUCAUUUUCUCUUUUUUAGCCUUAAUUUAUCGUUUCUUGUUUAUUUUAAUUUAGUUCUUACUGUUUUGGCUUACUGAUUUUAUUGAUUUUCGUUGUAAGUUAAAAUUGCUUCAAGAGAGACGUUCUCCUAUCUUUUUCUAUCAAGAAACACAUCAAAAUUAUGAGUUUUAAUCUUUUCUUAUUGUUUUAAAGAUUCUUGCACAAAACAAUUUGCUUUUGUCUUUAAAAUCAUUUCUAACAAACCUGUUUUGUGUUUUGUUUUUCCAGAUCUGGUUGGGGCAUUUUGUUGAGGUCUAAUGACGAUUUCUUUCCUUCCAAGAAACCCUAAUUCAUUUUCUAUUGGACUCUUUACCAAUCGGUUCAUCUUUCUUUUGUUUUAAUUUUGUUUGAAUUUCCUUUGUGACAAUUAAUUUGUUUUUAUUGUUUCUCGUUUCAGUUACGUUAUUCUAGGGAUUUAGGUUAAAUCCACACCUUAGAAAAGUUACGAUCCUGUUCCGUACGCAUGCCGUAUUAUUCUUUAUCAGAGUACAUGCUUCAAAAUUUGUUUAUGAAUACAUGUAUUCAUCGAAUAAUAUUGAUGAAAUGCAAAGUAUUAUUCAAAAACGCAUUGUUAAAUUUAUAUAAUUUCAUCAAAAUAGUGCUCCUAAUAGUAUUUGACACCUCAAAAUGUGCAUCAAUUAUACAGAAUUAUUCUCUAUGGCAACUUCUUUUAACUUUCAGCAGAAAAAGGUUAGAGAAAGCACGUUGGGCGUGCUUUCUCUAACUUUUUUGUUCAAAAGUACGUGCUUGUCCAUUUUUUCAACCGUCUUUAAGCACGUUUUGAAUAUAUUCCUAGAAGACGCUAGUCCUGCUAAACGUUUUCAACCGUAGGAAAUUUCUACUUUACAAUCCAGCCCUUCCUCCACGCCUAUAAAAGGGGUCUUCCACUACAUGCUUCAUUGUCCUUCAAACAUCUUCUCCCAUAGUCUCUCUAGCUCUCCUCUGGUAAACACUUCUCGAUGUUAAAAAUUUCUAUUGCUAAAACUUUUUUGUUGAUGUUUGAGGUAUUAUUGAGUCGUUGGUGAUGUGAUAUGACUCUGAGCCGCACACAUUUCAUAUAUUAUACCGAGAUGGGACCAUUACAUCUGAAGCCUAUCCUGGGAAAGUUGUGUUUCGGGAUGAUUUUGCUUUGUACAGUCAUGGGUGGAAGCAUAUGUGGAGGUUUCAAUUGAUGAUCGUUACGCGGUCAUGGAUAAAGGUAUGACGGGGGAGCCAGUUGACAGUUGUUAAGCGACUACGAGCUCAAACUUUUCAAAUACCCAAAAAUGUUGCCUUAUAAAUAACAUAUAGAAGUUUAAGGGCAUAAUCAUAGGGAAAACUGUGGGCCUUUCCGCUAUAAUCGGCAUAAUUUUUUUUCUUUAUUUCCAGAUAGGCGAUACCUUUAACCUUCAUUCUUAUCCGAUGGUCGGUACCGUCGUAGAUGCAUGAGGACUCUCAGGUAGGGAGCAAUUGUUUCAGUGGUGUAAAGGUAAUGCUCCUUUCGGGCUGAAAACGGUUGUCGUUAUUAAACAACCCAUUAAUAAUUACAACCGUUGACGCUCCAACCUGAUUUUGGCUUAUACUUCUACCGAAACAUCCACUCUCCCCCUAAGAGUCCUUUUGUGCCACCUCGGUGUCAACCUUCAAAUAAAAAUGAAAGGUUAAAGAUAUCAACUGUGUGGAAAUAGAGAAAAAAAAUUAGUUGAUUACGCCAGAAAUCCUUCCGUUUUUCCUUAUGGUUAUUACCUCAAUCUUAUGUAUAGUAUACAUAAGGCAUCAUUUGUAGAGUAUCCAAAAAUCUUGAACUCGUGACCAUGUAACAACGUCAAUUGGCCCCCGAAUAUACUUAAACCCGUGACCGCAUCUCGGUCGCCGACUAGUACCUCCACUUACACUUCGACUCUUGAUCUUAUUAAACACAGUCACCCUAAAACCAGAUUCCACCAAAAUGGGUUUCUGAGGUAAUGGUCUUAUCCCUCCACGACAUAUGAAAUAGAUGUAUUAUGAGGUGCAUUAUCACAUCCCUGACUCCUCAAAACUACUUAUGAAAUUCCCUAGUUUCACUCGAAAACCCUAAGCCCUUUUAAAAAACCCCUAAACCUAAAAACCUUAAACCUAAAAAUAUUAAAAACCUUAAACUUAAAAAAAAUAAAAACCCUAACCUUGUGAGAGAGAAAAGGAAAGUGUCCCCAGCUGGACGCAUUUUCCUUUUCUCUCUCCAAAAUCGACCUAUUUCCCUAAAUUUUCAAAAAAAAAAAAAGAUUAUAAACCUUAUUAAAAAAAUGGCAUAUACAACUAAUUUAACCAUGUUAAUGAUUACAUAACCAAAUAAAAAUAAUAAUAACAUUUUCUCAGCAAUUUUUCACUUUUUCUUUUCUUUUUUUUUCGUUUUAAAAAAAGUGGUUAUAAAGAAUAAAUUUUUUAAUAGAUAGUAGAGUUGUUCAUGGGCCAGGUCGAGAGGCCCGAUCGGAAAAUGGGAGGGUUAUGAAAAAAAUAUGUCCAAAAAAUGAGUUUGGGAAAAAAAGUAAGGCCCGUUUCGAAAAUGGGUCGAGCCUCGAGUAAAGUUCUUUUCUCCCAGUUUUGGCCCGAAUUUGCAAUAAAACCCCCUGUUUUUUUAUUGUUGUUUUCCCACUUUUUACCACUGUUUUGUUACUAUUUCACUAUUAUAUUGCUGCUAUUUUGGAAGUAUUUGUUUAUUAAGUUGCACUUAUCUUAGUGUUAUUUAAGUAUAAAAUCUUUAUUUUAAUAUUUUUAAUAUAUUUAGUGUAUUAUAUAUUCUUAAAAAAAUUUAUAUAAAAAUACAAAUUUUAAAAAACCAUAAUACCAACAAGCUAAAAUUUUCGGGCUGAUUUAGAUAGAAAUUUAACCCAUUUUUCAUACUGAACUGAACUAAACCUCGAAUUUAAAAUUUUAUUAACAACCUACUCGACCCCACCAUGAAACACUCUAGUGUCACGAACUUAAAUUUUUCCCACGCGAUCCAUACGGCUUUAGGCAGUUCCUUCGCUAAAAAAUGCCUAAGUCAACCUAACUCGCAAUAAUUGAUGAUUCAACAGAAUUCCUCUAAGGCACUCACGAAGAACAGCGGAAGAACGAAAUAAGAACGAACUCGAAAGAUGAACAAAAGCCACAGAAAAGCAAGAAUACUUGAGAGAAAAAUUUGAGUGAAUACUCUCAAAAUUCUAUUAAUAACUGAAUGAAUUACAAUGAGGGGGAGAGACCUCUAUUUAUAUUUGAGCCUCCCAAAAUAAACGGUAUAGACCAAAGUACAUCAAUGGCUAAGAUUAAAAGCUAUCUAGAUAUCAAAUCUCUAAGAUUACAAAAUAGUAUCUUCUAAAGUUUACAUUUAAUGUCUAGGAUAAUAUAUAUUUGAAGAUCACCUUCCAUAUUUGCCAAGCUUCAGAGAUGGGCUUUCAAUCUCUCCAAGCAACGGAUCAGUCCGAUUGAGCCAAAUGACCUCCUUCAAAUACGAUGAAUCAUACAAGUUCAUCAUGGUCAUCAUGGUUGUGGGCUUCCAUGCACAACCCACGACACUAGUACAUAGUAAUGGUUUGACUUAUUAUAAUUUGUGGGCUUGCUUUGCUUACCUUGAAAAACGAAGCUCCUUGAAUUAAAUAAGAGACGUACACACUCUUUUGCUUUGAGCUUAAAUCCAAGACAGUACGACAAGAUUUGUGUGUGCGAUGAAUUAUUGGACUCAUUUUUCUAAAAUUUAAUAUAGUGAUUACAUUUCUUCCGAUUCCUUCCAUUUUAAGUAAUCUUAAGUUUGAACCUUUACAUUUAAUUUAUCUUGUUCCAUAAUACGAUUAUAUUUUCCUAUCAUUUUAUCAUACCCAUUAUUUGAUUAGUAUAAUAAAAACAUACUUAUGUACGUGGGUUGAUGUUUAUAUUAUUAUUUAAAUUUUUUAUUUAAUUAAUAAUUUAGAAUGUUUAUUUCAGAAUAUUGUAAUUUUUUAUUAAAAAACCAAAUAAAAAUAUUCAUUUAGUAAAAUUUGAACCCACGCCAAUUUUAUUAGUAAAAUAUUUAAUUUAUCACUCAACUAAAAAUUUAUUUUAAUAUAUUUUAAUGUAUUUUAAUUUUAUUAUGGACACUUUAUUACCUUCAUCAGUUGUAUAUAUAUUAUUUAAAUUUCUGACUGAGUUUGUGUUAAAUCGGACACCAACUCAAUUAAGACAUUAUAGAAAUGUUCUUUCGUGAUUAAAAUAAGUAAUAUUAUUCGAAUGCAUUUUAGUUUUUUUACUUUAAAAGAUCAAUAAAAAUAUGCAUAUGGUUGGAUUUGAAUCUACUCCAAUUACAUUGGGAAAACCUUCAAUUUACCACUUAAUUAAAGCUUUAUUUUAAUAUUUUUAUAAAUUCUAAUUUUGUUAUGUACAUCUAUUACGUUCAUAAGUUGUAUAUAUUAAUAAUGUAUUUAAUUGAGUUGUUGUCAUAAAUUAAUUUGACACAAACUCAAAAUUAGUGACAACACCAUGAAAAACAAUUUAAUUUUUAUUUUUAUUUUAAUAAUGUGUAUAUUUUAAUUUAAUUUAAUUUAUUGUUAAUAAUAUUUACUUUUUCCUUGUAUAAUAAAAAAAAUACUAAAAUGGUAUCCCACUCCCAUUAUUUACGAGAAUGAUAUGGUGUGGGUGGUGGAGAGGUGACACCACCCUUGUUUUUUUUAUUCCAAUCAUUAGUUUGUUAUGCAAAAAAAAAAAAAUUAAGGAGGGAGGGAACCUAAUAGGCGGCACUAGUGGAGGCACCCUGAUAGGCGAGACCACUUUCCGCCGAAGAUCACAUAGUCACACGGUCUGACUGCCUGAACUGACUAAUUAAGGCCUCAAGGGUGUUAAAAUAUUUUCUUUAUAAGAGAGCCAUGGUGCCCUCAACGAGUGUUAAAAUUUGUUGCCUCCUUUCUUUAAAACUCUAACCUAACCAAAAUAAAAUUACAAAAAUAAUAGUUAACCUUUCAGAACUCUUAUUCUCUUCUCUUCUUUGCUGCCUUUUCCCCUUAUUAUCCUUAGCUGCUACUUCAAUUUUUUUCUUUUUUCCAGUUGAGGGGACCAUGGCUCUCUUAUAAAGAAAACAUUUUUAACACCCGUGAGCCUAAAUUGGCCAGUUCAGGCUGUCAGACCACGUGACUGUGUGGUCUCUAGUGCAAAAUGGAGCCACUUGUCAAGGGGCAUCCACCAGUGCCGCCUGUCAGGUUCCCUCCACCAUUAAAAAAACUAUAUUUUUACAUAAAAGACUAAUGAUCGGGAUAAAAAACAAAUGUGGUGCCACUUCUCUACCACCCACAUCAUACCAUUCUAAUAAAUAAUAGGAGUGGGCUACCAUUUUGGGUAUUUUUUUUAAUUAUAGAAGUAAAAAGACUAUUUUAAAAUAUGAAAAUCAUUGCGUGUAAAAGAAAACAUCAUUAUGUUUUAUGAGGUGUGUUCUUUUUCAAUAAAAAACACGAGAUAUCCACAAAAUAAGUAUUAAAUUUUCUCUAUGAUUUCUCAAUAGUUUUCGUUAUUCACAAAAAGACAGGCAAGCUACGUCAGUGAUCCAUCGUUCAUUUACACUUGAAUAUCCUUUCAAAUUAGAGCUGGGUUGUGAAAACGACUUAACCCAAUCCUCUAUUUAUAGGAGACUUGAUUUGAAAUCAUUUUCAAGAUCAAAAGGAAAUGAUGGAUGUGAGGGUGAAGCUUUUAAUCCUUUUGGCAAGCUCAUUCUUGAUUUACUCACUCAUAGUUUUACUCAAAGUUCUAUAUGACUACUGGUGGGUGCCUCCCCGUAUACAACAUCUCUUGAAUUCACAGGAACUUCAAGGGCCUCCUUACAAGUUCAUCCAUGGAUGCAACAAACAAAUUAACAAAAUGAGAAGUGAAGCAUUAAGCAAACCUAUGGGACUGACACAUGACAUACUUCCCAGAGUUUUCCCUCAUGUUUACUCCUAGAUCAACUUAUACGAUGAGUGGCAAACAACAAAUCAAAUGCAUUUUUUUCACUAUGAUUCUAACUUCUAGUUUCUAGAAAUAAUUGGUUUUUUUUUAAAUUGAGUUGAUUAGGGAAGAACUAUCUUUCUUGAGACGAUGUUCAAGCUCAGAUGGUGACUACUGACCUAGAACUAAUAAAAGAGGUUCUUAAAAAUAGUUAACAAACUUUUUUGAAAAGGAAACCCCCGAUCUAUCUUAGCAGGCUAGUAGGGGAUGGGCUUGUUACAAGUGAAGAAGAAAAAUGGGCAAAGCAGAGGAAGUUGGCCUGUAAGUAUCUCUUAUGAAUGAAACAAGAAACAAUUUAUUAUUCACAAAAUGACAAACUCAAACUUUCCACUUACAAAUUCAGUAUUUAAAGAAUAUACUUGCUAGCUAUUGUUGCUAAUUGCUGGUAACAGACUGAACUAACUAACAACUUCAAACUACCUACCUAUCUAACCCUUACCGUAUUAGUUAAUACUUUAACAUUCAUUCAUCUUCCUUACUGGAAAAACCUAAAGAAGACUUCAAAAACGAGCAAAUGCGAAGACAGAUAAAGGUUUGGUAAGAACGUCAGUAACUUGAUCACAUACAGGUACCUCACCCACAACUAAAAAUCCAUCAGCAACUUUCUUACGAACAAAAAACAAGUCAAGCUCCACAUGUUUAAACUUAGAAUACAAUACAAGAUUUGCAGCUACUGCACUUGAGUUAUCACACCAGAUAGUAGGUGAAUCAUCAGACUGAAGCUGUAAUUCCUUUAGUAACGACGUUAGCCAGACAACAUCACUUGUAGCCGCAACAAGACUUCGAUAUUCAGCUUCAGUUGUGGAUCGAGAAACAACUUAUUGUUUCUUAGAACACCAGGACAUUGGACUGUGACCAAAAUACACAUAGUAGCCAGUCGUGGAGUGACGAUCAUCAAAAUUUAGCCCCCAAUUUGCACCGGCAUACCCAACUAAAGAAAGUCGUGUAGACGGACAAGAAAUAACCCCAUAAUCCAAAGUUCCACUCAAAUAUCGCAAGAUGCGUUUUAACGCAAUUAGAUGAACAAUAGUGGGUGCAUGCAUAAAUUGAUAGAUACGAUUUACUGCGUAAGCAAUAUUAGGCCGAGUUAAAACCAUAUACUGUAAUGCCCUUGCAAGACUCCUGUAUUCAGUGGGAUCAGACAGACACUCCCCACCAUCUUUAGACAGAAAUGAGGAGCUAACCAUAAGAGUAUGAACGCUUUUUGCAUUAGUCAUAUGACACCUGUCAAGUAAAUCACGAAUAUACUUCUACUUGCAGAGAUGAAUACACCCAGUAGAGGAAUGAGUAACUUCAAUACUAAUGAAAAAAUGAAGCUCACCCAUAUCCUUUAGCGAAAACUCCUUAUGCAACUAUUUAACAAAACUGUCAUAUACGUAGGCAUGCUUCCAGUAAUAAUAAUAUCAUCCACAUACACAAGAACGUAAAUAGUGAAGGUAGACGUAACUUGAAUAAACAAAGAGGCAUCAAACUUUGACAUAAGAAAACCAAGGGAAAGUAAAAAAUCCUUUAAUUUGGUGAACCAAUCACGUGGAGCUUGUCAAAGCCCAUAUCAUGCCUUCUUUAGACGACAUACCAAAAGUUUCCCAUCAUAACUAAAUUGAACAUACCUUGGAGGUUGCUACAUAAACAUUUCAUCAGUAAGAUCCCCAUUUAAGAAAGCAUUAUUAACAUCUACGUGACGAAGUGGCCAACCUUUUGAGAUAACAACUAAUAGUAUAGCUCGAAUAGUAGCAGGUUUGACCACUAGACUAAAUGUUUCCUUGAAAUCACAUCCAGGCAUCUGAGAACAUCCUUUAGCUACAAUUUGAGCCUUUCGACGAGCAAUCGUGCCAUCCAAAUUUUUCUUUACUUUGAAUAACCAUUUACACCCAAUCACCUUCCGACCACUUAGAACCGUAACAAGAUCCUAUGUGGAAUUAUUAGUAAGAGCAUCAUAUUCAGCUUGAGCAGCAGUACGCCAUUCUAUGGUAGAAAAUGCUUCCUCUAUUGAGUGAGGUUCAACAGUUUCAGCAAAAAGAGCCCGAGGUUUAAAUAUGUCGGCCUUAGACCUAGUAACCAUUGAAUAUGUAUUAGUUGAGGGUAGCGAAGAGGUAAGAGGAACAGAAGAAUGAAAGACGGGAUUUGUUGAUGAUGAAGGCAGAGAAGAAUUAGAGUUAGUAGAUAUAUCAUCACGAGCAAAAUACACCGAAGGACUAGAGUUGAUGUUAUCCUGAGGAACACCAAAGGCCAAAGGAAUCGGAGCGACUGAAGGGGACAACUCAGGAGGUGAAACAGCUGGCUCUGUGGGUCGAGAAGAAAAAGACCGAACAAGAGGAACAUAUGUUGGCGAAAUUAAUUGCUCAGACAAAGGCGAGGAGUCGUUCAGACCAUACUCAGUAAACAGGAACCGCCGUUCAUCAAACAUAACAUGACGAGAGAUAACGAUCUUACCAUCAGGUGUGAGUCACUGAUAACCUUUACCUUGAGAGUUAUAUCCCAAAAAUGUACAUGGUUGAGAGUAAAAAUCCAACUUGUGAUGUAAAAAGAGAUGCAAGUAUGGAAAACAACAGCAUCCAAACACUCGUAAAUGAUCAUAUGUUGGAUCUUUCCCAUGUAAAGCCUUGUACGAAGAUUGUCCCUUUAACACUGAAGUAGGAAGAUGGAUAAUCAGAUGAAUAGCACAAUUGAAUGCAUAACCCUAAUACUUCAUAGAGAUAUUCGAUUGAGCCAGGAGAUUAAGACCUAUUUCAAUAAUAUGUCGGUGUUUACGCUCAGCCACCCCAUUUUUGUUCAGACGUGUGAGGACAAGACUGUGUGAGGACAAGACUGUCUAAGAAUUAUCCCUUGACUCACCAAAACAGAAGUGAAAGCUCGAAACUCACCUCUCAAUAGCUUUGAAAUUGACGAAUAUUCUUGCCAAACUAAGUUCUGACUAGCUGCUGGAACUGAACAAAACAUUCCACUGCCUGAGACUUCUAUCGAAUAAGAUACAUCCAUGUAAAACGUGUACACAUAUCAAUACCAAUUUCAUUCAUAGGUGACAGAGGCAGGUCCCCAUAAAUCUGAGACUACCAAAUCAAACAUAGUAUAUUCAGUAGUAGAAUCUAGAAAUGACAGCUUAUGAGACUUUCCUUUUUGACAUGCAGCAUAACUUUUUACAAGUAAUAUUACAAUUAUUUAAAACUGACUUAACAACAAAAGUAGAUGGAUGACCAAGACGAUUGUGCCAUAGCGCAAAAACAUUACAUUUAUUAGGUUGAUUUUGAACUUCAACAAUGGCAAGAGUCGGGCCCACAACAGUCGCAUCUGAUGGAGAAAAAUGAUACAGACCAUCACGAAUGUGGCCCUUCAGCAAAACGGCUUAAGUCUGGAUGUCUUUAAGAACACAAUAGGUUGGAUGAAAUUCAAAAAACACAUUGUUGUCAGUUGCAAACUAGGAUACAUAUAAAAGAUUUUUCCAUACAGCUGGAACACAUAAAACAUUAGACAACCGAAGUAAUUUAUACCUUGUAGGAAUGAUUGAAUUACUAAUAGAAAAAAUCUGAGUAGAAGUUCCAUCACCCAUUAAAAGAUAAGAUUUACCUGAGUAACGAGUAGAACCAUUCAACGCAGAAUUAUCACUACAAACAUGAUUUGUGGCUCCUGAGUCGGGAUACCAGGACGUAGUACCUGCAGGUAAGGGGACAUAUGAGUUAGUACCAUCAAGAUUGGACCCAAAUUGAGCCGUAUGAAUAUUAGGCUUAGUAGAAUUGGACACAUCAGGCAAAUGCAAAUCAGGAAGACGAGGAAGCCCAAUAUAUGGAUCAAACCUAGUGUACACAUGGGCCCUAGGUUUGGUUCUCCAAGGAACAGAAGGUGUAGGUCCAGGACAUACAUUAACAACAGAUGGAUCAUUAUUAAAUUGCCCCAGAAAAUAACUCGCCCCAUGCAAAACUUGGUUAACUUGUGGCCUAAAAAUAUGAGGGUGUACAUGAAGCCCAAAAGUGGCUGAUCGACCAUGACCAGCAGGAGGCCCAAAAUCAACAUGCUGUCCAUGCCCAGUCGACUACCCAACAGAAGCAAUGCGUGACCCAAAAGAAAAAUCUGGCCUAGGCACAGAAGGAACAUGCCUAGUCCAAUCAGUAACACUCUCAGUGCAAUCAGCCCGACUAACUCCAUUCACACGUCUAAAACCAUCAGCAGACCUGGGAACAAAAGAAGGAACCCUAGAGGUCGAAUGCCGCUGCGGCACCUUAGCAAAAUCUACAAAAAACCAUAAAAAAACUCAUUUGGUGUUGAGUAGCAACUAGAGACACCAUCAGUCGGACGCAACGGAAUCACGGAGGCCGACCAGUCAAACUUUAGGGAAUACACUCCGCAAUAUUCACAUGAAUCGGCACAUCGGAAACAACGAACAUCUGACGAUUCUCAAACUCGAGAAGAACAUCUACGAGGUGCUGAAAGGGCAAUGACUUAGAGGAGAACAAGGCUAACAUCAGCACUGCACCAAACUCCGGUGGAAGACCUGCCAAGACAACUUCAACUUUUUUCGCCUUCGAGACCCGGGAGCCCAAGGCAUCAAGCAAAGCACAGAGAUUUUAAACUUUUGCAACGUAUUCUGUAACCGAAAGAGUACCUUUCUUAAGCAAAUGCAGCUCAUCACGGAUACAAGAUACCUUCGCUCUGGUAACUGCCGCAAACAAUCGAGUGGCCGUGGUCCACACCUCGAAUGUCAUUUGAGCGUGAGUAAAGGAAGAUAGUAAAGAGGGAUGAAUGGUGGAAAGCAACCAUGAAGCUAACAGACGACCUUGUUGAUGAAAAGCUGAUGCACUAGGAUUCGGAACCAUAGAUCCAUCAUCCGAUGGCACAAAUCGCGCCUGAGAUGGUAAAGUCCCAUCCAAAAACCAUGUUAAUUCAUAGCCUUCCACAAUUUACCUAAUGUGUUGUUGCCAUUGAACAAAAUUGCUAUUUUUUAGUUUAGCGAUGUCAUGCCACGGGAAGGAAUGCACAACCCGAUCACCAGUAAAUGUCAAGCAACUAGGGUCAACUGAACCAGAAUUAGUAGAUGUAGUCAUGAGGAAGAAAAAGAAAGUAAGAAAAGAGAAGAAGAAAAAAAAUCAAAGCUACAGAACAAGAACAAGGCAACUGAUACCAUGUAAGUAUCUCUUAUGAAUGAAACAAGAAACAGUUUAUUAUUCACAAAAUGACAAACUCAAACUUUCCACUUACAAAUUCAGUAUUUAAAGAAUAUACUAGCUAGCUAUUAUUGCUAAUUGCUGCUAACAGACUGAACUAACUAACAACUUCAAACUACCUGCCUAUCUAACCUUUAACCGUAUUAGUUAAUACUGUUAAGAAAAUGCUUUAGGACUGAAACAUGUCAAAGUUUACGUUUUUUUGUUAAGUUGAUUGUGUCAAAAUUUGUUCUUGAUUUUAGGAAUUAGUUGUUGAUUUUAUUUUGCUUAAGUUUAGGAAAUAGUUAGUGGGUUGUUGAUUUUAUUUUGCUUGAGUUAAGGAUGGGUUGUUGAUUUAUUUUGUACAAAUUCUGAAUGAUUGUUGAAUAAAGCAAUUCAGUUUCCUUCAUCCAUUAAGUUUUUUUUUACUAAAAUACUUACAAUUGGUCUCGGAGCUGUAUUCUUAAGGGAUCUAUGAAUGAGUGUGAGAGAUUGCUGUGUCAUGGACGUCAAAGCCAGUUCUAGUUUCCCUUCAAUUUCUCCAUUGAUGUUUGAUAUAGACAACUACCAGGUUUGGGCAGUUCGUAUAGAAGCGUAUAUGGAAGCUUUGGAUAUUUGGGAAGCAGUGGAAGAGGAUUAUGAAAUUCCUGCUCUCCCACACAAUCCUACCAUGGUGCAGAUCAAAUUGCAGAAGGAGAAGAAGACAAAGAAAUCUAAGGCAAAGGCCUGCUUGUUCACUGCAGUCUCAUCUACUAUCUUCACUCGGAUUAUGACUCUGAAGUCAGCAUAUGAGAUAUGGAAUUAUCUCAAGUCAGAGUAUAAGGGAGAUAAAAGCAUCAAAAGAAUGUGUGUGUUAAGCUCGAUUCGAGAAUUCGAGUUGCAAAAGAUGAAGGAAACAGAAUCAAUCAAAGAGUAUCCUGAUAGGUUGUUGGACAUUACAAACUGAAUCAGAUUACUUGGUUCUGAGUUCAAGGACUCAAGAAUUGUUGAAAAAAUUCUUGUAACAGUACCUGAAAAUUUUGAGGCUUCUAUUUCAGCCUUGGAAAAUACUAAGGAUCUAACUUAAAUCACUAUUGCAAAGAUUCUCAAUGCUUUGCAGGCAUAGGAGCAAAGAAGAGCCAUGAGGCAAGAAUGUGCUGUUGAAGGAGCUUUGCCAGCUAAGCAUCAUGAGAAUGCGAGGAACAACAAGAAGAAGUUUUUCAAGAAGAAUCAAAAUUCUACUAAAGAAUCUUCAGCCAAUAACAAGCAGGAGUCAAGAAGGGAUCCUACCCUCCAUGUCAACAUUGCAAUAGAAAGGGUCAUCCUCCUUACAAAUGCUACAGAAGACCAGAUGCCAAGUGCACCAAAUGUAACUAAAUGUGGCAUGAAGCGGUAAUUUGUAGGAACAGGAAUCAACAACAAGGUGAAGAAGCUAAGAUUGCAGAUCAGGAGAACGAGGAUCAACUGUUUGUAGCUACAUGCUUCGUGGGCAAUGAGUUAAAUGAAAGCUAGUUGAUUGACAGUGAUUGUACCAAUCAUAUGACUCAUGACAAGGAGUUGUUUAGAGAUUUGAAGCCAAGUAAUAUCACCAAAGUCAGAAUUGGCAAUGGGGAUUACAUCUCUGUCAAAGGAAAAUGGACUGUUACGAUUGCAAGCUGUACAGGUACAAAACAUAUACAAGAUGUUCUCUUUGUUCCUGAUAUUGACCAAAAUCUAUUUAGUGUGGGUCAACUUAUUGAAAACGGCUUUAAAGUUACUUUUUAAAAUGAAUAUUGCUUGAUUAAGGAUGCAGCUAAUCAAGAUAUCUUCAAAGUAAAAAUGGAAGGAAAGAUUUUUUCACUCAAUCCUUUAGAGGAGGAGCAAUCUGCUUUUCCUCUCAAAGAAGAUGUCACACAGAUUUGGCACAAGAGAGUCAGACACUAUUAUCAUCAAGGGCUACUACAACUAAGAGAAAAGGAGUUGGCACUUGAUGUUCCCAAGCUUAGUGAUGCAAUCUCAAGCUGCGAAGUGUGUCAGUUUGGAAAGCAAAGUAAGAAGCUAUUUCCAAAGUUAACCUAGAGAGCCACUCACAAAUUGCAGCUUAUCCACUCAGAUGUUGUAGGCCCUCAAAGAACACAUUCUUUAAAAGGUAGUCCCUAUUAUAUUGCCUUUAUUUAUGACUUCAUCAGAAUGUGCUGGAUUUUUUUUCUUGAAGUUUAAAUCAGAAGUAGCUCAAGUUUUUUGGAAGUUCAAGGCAAGAGUUGAAAAUGAUAAUGGCUGCAAAAUUCAGAGUAUCAGGUCUGACAAUGGGAAGAAGUACACUUCGGUGGAAUUUGACAAGUUUUGUGAAGAUUCAGGCAUAGAGCAUCAGCUUACAGCACCUUACACACCUCAACAAAAUAGGGUUAGUGAAUGGGGAAAUAGAUGCAUCAUGGAGAUGUCAGGAUGCAUGCCACAUUAGAAGAAUUUGCCAAAGAAGCUUUGGGCAGAGGUAGCAAAUAUGGCUGUAUUUCUUCAAAAUAGGCUUCCAACAAAGGCGGUGAAGGAACAGACACCAUUUUAGGUAUGGUAUGGUUAUAAACCAUCUCUGAAAUUCCUUAAAGUAUUUGGUUGCUUGUGUUUCACUCAUUCUCCACAGAACAAGCGUGACAAGCUUGAUAGGAGAGCCUCACCAGGUAUAUUUAUAAGCUAUAGUACUGUUAGCAAGGCCUAUAAAAUUUUUCAGCCAUAAACUGGAAAUAUUGUUAUUAGUAGGGAUGUUCACUUUAUGGAGGUUGAAGAGUGGAGCUGGGAUGAUAUAGAGAAGAAGGGUCAGACUAUGACAGAGUUGAAACUCAAGUUUUCUAAUUCAAGCAUCGAAGAAGAAGAUGACUGGCAGAAUGAAACAGUGGAUGAUGCAUAUGUAAGAGGAAUAAGGUUGCUCUCAGAUGUUUAUGAAAGGUGCAAUGUUUCUGUGUGUGAACCUGUCGAUUAUGCAGAAGAAAAAAAGGAUCAAAGAUGGAUAGCUGCAAGAGAGGAGGAGCUGUCAAUGAUAGAGAAGAAAAAGACUUGGAUUCUUGUGGAUAGACCUCAAGGUAGGAAGGUAAUUGGAGUUAAGUGGGUGUUUAGAACCAAGCUUAACGCUAAUGGCUCGACCAGCAAGCACAAAGCUAGGCUUGUGGUUAAAAGGUAUGCCCAAAUCUUUGGUGUUGAUUACUCUGACACUUUUGCUCCUGUUGCUAGAUUGGAUACAAUCAGGUUACUGCUUGCAGUAGCUGCACAAAAAGGUUGGAAAGUGUUCCAAUUAGAUGUCAAAUAAGCUUUUUUAAAUGGUAUCUUACAGGAAGAAAUUUAUGUUGAGCAGCCCCAAGGAUUUGAGAAGGAAGGCAAAUGAGAUAAAGUCUAUCUUCUUAAGAAGACCUUUUAUGGUCUAAAACAAGCUCCAAGAGCUUGGUAUAGCAAAAUUGAUGAACAUUUGUUGAACUUGGGAUUUGUAAAACGUCUAUCAGAAACAACCUUGUAUGUCAAGCACAAUGAUACUGGCAUUCUUAUUGUUUCAUUGUAUGUUGAUGACCUACUGGUUACAGGAAACAAUACAGAUCAUAUUCAAAAUUUCAAACAGGAGAUGAUGGAAGUGUUUAAAAUGACAUAUCUCAGGUUCAUGUCCUACUUCCUUAGCAUGGAGAUCAAGCAAGGGCAAGGUGAAAUUUUCAUUUGCCAAAAAAAGUAAGCAAAGGAAAUACUGAAGAAUUUCAGAUGGAGGAGUGCAAUGCAGCAAGCACUCCAAUGAACCAGAAAGAGAAGCUGUGCAAAGAAGAUGGUGCUAACAAAGUUGAUAAAGGAUAUUUCAGGAGUUUGAUUGGCUGCUUGAUGUAUCUCACAUCAACAAGGCCUAGUAUUUUGAAUGUGCAAGUGUUUUGCCUCGAUUCAUGCAUUGUGCGAGUGAAUUACAUCUCAAGACAGCCAAAAGAGUGAUUCGAUAUGUCAAAGGCACAAGUGAUUUUGGUGUUAAGUUCAUAAGGGGCAAGGAGUUCAAGCUGGUUGGUUUUUCUGAUAGUGACUGGGGAGGUUCCAUUGAUGAUAUGAGGAGCACUUCAGGCUACUGUUUUACUCUUGGCUCUGGUGUUUUCUCAUGGAGCUUGAAGAAGGAAGAAAUUGUAGCCCAAUCCACUACCAAAGCAGAGUUUAUUCUGCAACAGCUACUGUUAAUCAAGCUUUAUGGCUGAGGAAAAUUUUACUUAAUCUUGAUCUGGAGUAGAAGGAAAGCACAUAGAUUCUUGUUGACAACCAAGCUGCUAUCGCUAUCUCUCAUAAUUUCGUGUUUCAUAGGAAGACUAAACAUUUUAGCAUCAAGCUAUUCUUCUUAAGGGAAGUACAGAAACAUAGAGAUGUGAUUCUUGUCUACUGUAAAAUAGAAAAUCAAGUUGUAGACAUUUUAACCAAACCAUUGCCUGCUUCCAUGUUCGAGUUUUUAAGGUCAAGACUUGGUAUUUGCGGCUCCUAAAGCAAGGAGUGUUAAUAAAAUGCUUUAAGACUGAAACAUGUCAAAAUUUGUUUGUUUUUUUUUUUUGUUAAGUUGAUUAUGUCAAAAUUUGUUCCUAAUUUUAGGAAUUAGUUGUUGAUUUUAUUUUGCUUAAGUUUAGGAAAAAGUUAGUGGGUUGUUGAUUUUAUUUUGCUUUAGUUUAGGAUGGGUUGUUGAUUUAUUUUAUAUGAAUUCUGAAUGAUUGUUGAAGAAAGCAAUUCAGUUUGCUUCAUCCAUUAAGGUUUUUAUUUUUUACUAAAAUACUUACAAAUACUUUAACAUGGCCAACUAUGUUUUCCAUGGGGAGAGCUUAAAGGUAAACUUUUGUGGGUGAUUUGAGUAGUUAAUUCUUGGUUACAUUUAACACAUUGGAGGAUGGUUUCGGCUAAACAUGACUCCAGCAGUAAUUGCUAGCGUUGAAACAAUGCUAGACAAGUGGAAAGACAAAGAAGGAGAAGAGACCGAAGCAGGGAUUUAAAUAGCGGUCCGAUAUCAGAAUAGCGACCGCUAUAUAGCGGUAGCGGCGCCGUCCAAAACUGCUACUGCUGAAAAUAGCGGUGUGAAGCAGAGUCACAUCGAUAGUGGUGGAUCGCGGCCGUAAUUUAACGGGUAAUGGCCAAUUGCGGCAAUAACGGGCCACUAUUCCCAUUAUUUUUCGUUACAGUAAAUUAAAAAAAUCCAUCCCCUUUAAACAAAAUCAACAAAAACACAAUAAAACAAUAGGGAAUAUAUUCCCCUACUUGCAAAAUCAGAGAGUUUUCAAUCAAAAAAAGUAAAAAGAAGUCCAAAUAAACAUAAAAAGUAAUCAAAACUCAAAAGCACUAGAAAAUAUGAAAUUCUAUUUCUUAUAUUUCGACAAACAACACAGAAGCAGAUGAAAGCGAGUAGCCGAGGACUUGAAUCUGAAAAGCAAACCCUGCCCUAAUCACUUGCACAUUUAGAGAUUGAUAAUUUUCUAGUAAGUACUUAAAAUUUUGUCUUGAUUUUUGCUUGUUUGUCUUGAAUCUGCAGUGCAAAUAUGUUCUUUAGAAUUGAGGACACCAUUUGAACCGCUUGACGCCAUCUAUUUCCUCUUCGAAGUUCUAGGUUUCUUCCAGUUCUUUCUCAGCCCUUCUAAGCCAGUCCUCAACGUCUUCAUAGAUGACCUUAAUUUGCCUUUUACCUCAUCGACAUGAGUUUUCACCCUCUGUUUCCUCAAUUUAAGUUCCUUUCACUGAUUCUUGAAAUCUUCAACAAUCUCUCCAUAACAGAAAAAGUAACAGAGAUAAGGUGAUGACUGAUGCAUAUUCCUUAACCUGGUUUUUCACACUUUCAACAGCAGUAGAGGCAACAUAUUCGGCCAUUUUUGUUGAUAGUCUGAUGAGGUUGAAGUUUAGAGUUAGAGGCUACUGGUUAGGGAAAUAGAAUCGUUUCAUUCUCAUUUUAUAUGCUGCUCUGUUGUGUUUUUUCUUUGGUUCUCGUUUUACUCAUUAAUUAGGGGCAGCCACCGUCCAUUUUAUCCACUAGAAAAGAGCAAACUGUUGUACAUGUAAAUUGAGUUUUUAUUGAGAAAUGGUAACCAUAAAGUUUCUGUCAAUUUGUAGCCACCGUCCAUUUUAUCCACUAGAAAAGAGCCAUGUAAAUUGUGCUUUUAUUGAGAAAUGGUAACCAUAAAGUUUCUAUCAAUUUUUUAAUAAAGUAAAUUGUUAAAAAUUUUCUUAAAACAAUUAUUAGAAAAUUUCUUUAUUAAAUUUUUAAAAAAUAUAUAAAUCUCUGGACACAGUUUUUAAUAUGACAUGUAAUAAAGUCUUUAUAGUUAAUUUUCCCCUUAAGUCCCUUAAGUCUUUGUUAUCUAUGAACAAACAUUCAUAUAUUAAAAAUUAAAAAUAUUUGAAACGCGAAAUUUUAUCAUAUGUUUGUUCAUAAAGUAAAUGUUUGUCCACAAGAAUCUAGAAAAGGAUUUAUGGAAUUUCCAAUGAAAUGGUACCUUCAAUUAUAAAUGUUAAGCAAUUUAAGAAUCUAAUUGUAACAAGUAAAAAAAAAAAGUAAAACAUAUCUAAGAAAAAGAAACAAAAACACUCCUUUUGAAAGAAAUCAGAAAAUGAAGAUGUUUAGUUAGCUUAUAAAUAAAAAAUAGUAUUAAGUAAAUAGAACAUAAUAAAUGAUUGGACAAACAGAGGACUAAAAGAGAAAAAAAAACGUUCAUUUAAUUUAGAAACAAUAAAUCAAAGAACCCAAAAAUUUAAAGAAGAAUCUUGCAUGACCCAAAUAUUUAUAAACUCAUAUUAGAGCAAAAAAGAAAAAGAAGAAGAAGCUUUAGAAAGGCUUAUCAUUUAUUAGCAAAAUUAACACAAUAAAGAAAAAAAAACUUUAGAUAAACUUUAGAUUUAACUUAAGAGAGUAAAAAAAAAUGAUUUCUAAAUGUAAUUUAGUUUGUAUAAUAUGAAAAACUUGAAUUUUUAAAUUUGAUCCAAUUUGAAUUUAAAUUUUAUUAAGACGGAACAAAACAAACUAUUUAUACCAAAAACUUUGGAACCAAGUAAUAAUGGGUUAUGGUGUAUUGUUGUUUUUAAAAUAAAUAAAUAAAUAAAUUGUAUGGAUUAUACAAUAAAUUUAAAAUUUUCAUGUUAAUGAUAUUUACUUCUUUUUUGUAUUAUAUUGUUGAUAAUAUAAAUAAUGAGUUGCUUAUAUUUCUAAAUAUAAUUUUAUGUUUCUUAUAUAUAAAUAAAAAUAAAGCAUGCCACCACGUGAAGAGUUCCCGACUAAAGGAUUGGAGGGUGCACCAAGUAAUGAUAUAGGUUGGCACUUUGGAACUCCAGUGCCAAAUGCGAAAGGAAAUAUCGUAUGUAAACUUUGUGGUAAAGUUGUGAAAGGAGGAAUAACACUAUUUAAAGAGCACAUUGCUCAUAAAACCAACAAGGUUGCACCAUGCCCUAAUGUUACUGGUAUGUGGUACUUUAUUUUUUUAUAAAUGUUAUUGUAAAUUUAUCAAUAAAGAUUAUAUAUAAUUUAUAAUAAUAUAAAGUGUGAAUUAUUUUUAUUUUAUUAACAGGUGUCAUUAGAGAAAGUAUGAUGAAUAUACUGAAAGAAAGCAACACAAAGAAAAUAGACAAAAAGAGGAGAAAAGAUGAAUUCUUAUAUCAAUUAAGAGAAGAGGAGGAUGAACACGAGGAAUUCAUUGAUGAGGUUUCUACUAUAAGGCAAGCAACUCGAGAAAGUAUCCAAUCACAACACGAGUGGCAUAAAAGGGAAGAAUUCAGACGAAGUACUGGUGAUUGGGAUAACAUUUAUGAAGAAGGGCGAUCUUCUCAUGGAUCAGCUAGAGAAAUAUCAUAGAGAAAGAACACGUAAAUCCAUCCCAAGUGAGUCUGAGUUUACCUUAAGGGGAGCUAUACCUGAAUUGGUUAGAAGCAAAAUUUCAAAGCAACCAAAGGUCAAUGACUCUUUUUUAAAGAGUUUCCAAAGAAAGAUAGGUGAAGCGGUAUCUAAAUUUUUAAUAUAUGAAAGACUUCCUUUUCAAUGAGCAAGCUCUCCAUGGUUGUAUAACUUAAUUCAAGUGCCACUAGAAGUUGGAUAAGGUGUAAAGCUCCCCACACCUUAUGAGGUUUCAGAUGUGCAUUUGGAGUCAGAGUAUCAACGAGUUCGUGAUUGGGUAAAUGGACUAAAGACUCAUUGGAAAGAAUUGGGUGCAACUCUAAUGUGUGAUGGUUGGACCAACAGUUUGAAUCAAAUGCACAUCAUUAAUUUCCUUGUUUAUUGCAGUAAAGGAACCAUUUUUUGGAAAUCGGUAGAUGUCUCAAGUGUCUGUAGUAGCGAUGUUGAAUUCUACUACUAUUUGUUAGAUUCAGUUGUAGAAGAAAUUGGAGAAAACUACAUUGUUCAAAUAGUGACUGAUAAUGAGACAACAAUGAAAGCUGCUGGAAAAAAAAUAAUGUUGAAAAGAAAACAUCUAUACUGUUUAGAUUUAUGCCUUGAAGAUAUUGGGAAAAAGCCCAGUGUAGCAAAAAUGUUAGAUGAGGAAAAGAAAGUGACUUGCUUUAUAUACAAUCACAUUUGGACUGUUGAUUUGAUGAAGAAGUAUACACAAGGGAAACAAAUACUUCGACCUGCUCUUGCUCGAUUUACAACUCAUUUCAUUCAACUUGAAGAGAUAACAAGACAAAAGCAAGGUCUGAGAGAAAUGUUUAAUUCAAAGGUCAGUAUUUUAUAAUUAGUUAAUAUAAUUACUUAAAUAUAGCAACCUUUAAUGAUUUUAUUAGUUCCAAAUAAUUUAAAUUAUAUUAUUUUAAAAUUUUUCUUAUGAAUAUAUAGGAAUUUAAAGAAUCAAAAUGGUGACAGCAAAAGUCAGGGCCUGCUUAUGAAGCCAAAAAAAUUGUUUUGGGAAAAGAUUUUUGGAAAAAAAGCCAAUGACCUCAUAAAAGUUUACGAGCCCCUAGUAAAAGUAUUGAGACUUGUGGGUAGCGAUGAAAAACCAACAAUGAGCUUUAUUUAUGAGGCUGUUGAUAGAGCUAAACGAGCAAUUCAACAAGAUUGUUGAUAUUUCACCGAGUACGAAAAGAUUAUUAACAAUAGAUGGAAUUUUAUGCAUUCCGACUUGCAUUCAGCUGGUAAGAUAAAAUGUUUCAUAUAAUUAAGAACUAUUUUUAUAUUUUAUUAAUUUAAGCUUUAGAUUAUUAUUUGAUGAUAUUCUUAUAAAUUCUACUUAGGUUAUUUUCUCAAUCCUCAAUUUCAAUUUGGGGUGGAGCAUUCUGAGAAUGUACUAAUAGAAACAUUAGAAGGUACACGAUCAGAAUGGUUAAUCAGGUUAGAUUCAAGUACUAUUAUUUGUAACAUAGUUACAUAAUUUGAAAUAGAAUUAUUUUUUUUAUUUUUACUCUAUCUUUUAUUUAUGCAAUUGUUACUAUUUAGAGAUAAACAUGAGACAUUCGGUACUCUACAAGCACAAAGAGCUUGGAAGCAAAUGAAUCCGAAUAAACAGUUAAUUAAAUUAUUUAAUUUAAUUUAUAUUAUUUACUUAUAUUGUACAUUUUAAAGUUAUUUUGAAAUUUAAAUAAUAUUAUGCAGCUGAGUGGUGGAUAAUAUACGGCACAUGUGUUCCUGAAUUACAAAAAUUAGCAAUUAAAGUGCUUAGUCAAACAACUUCAGCAUCAAAUUGUGAACGAAAUUGGAGCACAUUUAGUUAUAUUCACACCAAGGCAAGAAAUAGGUUAAAGUAUAAAAAACUUGAGAAACUAGUGUUUACCUAUUAUAAUAUGAGGCUUCAGAUAAGGCAUCAAAAAAGAAUGAGCACUGAUGAUAUAAACGCUAGUUUUAAUCCUAUCAGCCUUGAUUAUAUCUUUGAAGAUGUUGAUCCACUAUCAGAAUGGCUUCAUAAGAAAGAGAAUUCAUUUUUAGAUGGUGAAAAUGCCGGUGUGUUGCCUGUGGAUACCUCUGAUGAUGAAAUAGAUGUUGAUCAAUCUCAACAACAAAAUUUGUCUCAUUCAAGUUCUAGUUCAAUGCCAAGUCAAAGUGGCGAUGGACCCGAUGUGGUGGUUUAAGUCCAAUUGAUGGGGAUGAUGGAUAAAGUGGUGAUAGAGGUGAAAUUAGAUCUUCUAGUCAGUAUGGAGGAGAAUAUGAGGUUGGUACCACUAGUGGACAUUUCCGUGAUAGAUCAGAGUUUGAUGGAAAUAUGUUUCCUGAACCUAGGAGAGAUAAAACUAAACCUAGAAUUCCAUCAAAAUGAAAAGACAAAAAGCAUACUUCUAUAGUCUCUUCAUCUGGUAGGAGAUCGAGUUCUAGUAACCUUGGGUAUAGUGAUUCAUCUACUAGCACUCAAGGUUUUUAUCCACCAGAACAACCUUCAUAUUUUCAACCUUCACAUGGUUAUCCACAACCAUAUGAUUAUUAUCCAGCAUUUCCUAAUUAAGGUGUGUCAUACCAACCUCAAAUGCAUCCUCCACCACCAAUGUAUCACCCACCUCCACCUCUCAUGUAUCCUCCUGCUCAAGUAUAUCCUCCAUAUCAAUUUUAUGAAAACCAAGGUGAAAAUGUUUUUUUUUGGAUAUAUUUUUGGACAAAGGCCAAGAGAAUCAAGUCAAGAACGCUCUCAAAGUGAAGGUGAAUGAUUUGAUCUUCCUCGUCAUUCCACUAAUUGGUGAAAACUAAAUCGUACCACUACCAUUAUUUGUAAGGUAUGUUUUUUUUAAAGAAAAACUUUUGUUAAUGUUCUUAAUUUUGAUGAUAUUAAAGCAUUUAAAAUAUAUCUUUAGAUAAAUAAAUGGAGUAUAUUUUAUGAAAAGAUAAUUAAGAAUCAAAGCAUGUUAAACUAUAUAUGAAGGUAGAAUGAGAGUGAGAAUAAGUGGUAGGAAAUCAGAAUAAUUAAUGAGAAUCUAUACAUUUAUCUAUUCUUUUUUUCCUUUUGCAGCAUAGAAUGUUUAUAUCUUCACCAUCUUCAAAGCUGUCAAGAAAUAUUGAAGACAUCUCUCAGGUAUGAAUUUUCAAUUAUUUUAUCUAUUAAAACUUUCAAACUUAUUAAAUAUGAUAACUGUUUAAUAUUUCUUUUUUUUUACUUUGUUAUUAGUUAAUAUAACAUUCUUAGAAAAUUCGUAAAUAAAUGUAAGAAUAAUUAAUGAUUAUAAAAGUUGUAUUCUCAUAUCAUAUUAAUAAAAGUUUACAAGUGUUAGAAAACACUCUAAAAAUCAUUAAAAGUGACUUUUUAUAAUUAUAAUUAUAAUUAUUAUGUUUUACAAUAAGUUGUUCAAAUUUUAAAAAAAUUCACGACCACGAUACCCGUAGUGGCUGCAAUAACAUCCGUUAUGUCCGCAACCGUAAUAAACGCAACGCGAUCGAAAACGCAGCUGCGACUGCAAUUAAAUCCCUGGACCGAAGUGUUCCAAGAAUAUAGAAUGUUCACUUCAGAAGUCAUAUCAAGAACAGCUUUUGGUAGCAGUUACUUGGAAGGAGAGAAGAUCUUUUACAUGUUGAAGAAGCUCGUAGAUAUUGUGAGCCGCAAUUCAAACAAGUCUAGGAUUUCAAUCCUCAGGUAUGUUUGUUUAUGUUGGUUGAGUGUUAAGGAAAUUAGUACAUGUAAGUUCUCGAGUUUUAGCCUUGUGAAUAAACAUAAUAGUUACUGUUUGUUGACAUCGAUUUGAUUUUGCAGCAAGUUUUAGAAAACUGACGAUGACUAGAGUCAGAGAAACUUGCUAGAGAAAUACAAGAUUUGGUGAUAGAGUUUGUGAAGAAAAGAGAAAAUAAAGUUGCGAGUGGAGAAGCAGAGAGCUUCGGCAGUGAUUUUCUGAGAAUAUUAGUAAAAGCGUUUAAUAGUCCGGAUGAAAAAAAAACAAGAUUUUAAUGGAAGAUUUGGUUGAUGAGUGCAAAACAUUUUAUUUUGCUGGACAAGAAACUGUUAAUGCCUUGCUUGCUUGGGCAGUGCUGGUUUUAGCUAUCCAUAGAGAUUGGCAAGACAAAGCAAGAAGAGAGGUGAUGGAGAUAUUUGGUAGCCAAAAUCCACACUCCUAAGUCCUUGCCAAAAUCAAAAUCGUAAGCAAAUCUGAUAGCUUAAUUGUACUUGUAUUAUUGUUUCUCAUUUAAAUGAAGCUGAAAUAUAACUUUUGCAAACAGAUGCGCAUGAUCAUUAAUGAAACUCUACGAUUGUAUGCUCCCAUAAAUGGGUUGGUAAGAAGAGCUAGAAGACAAGUUCAAGUGGGAAAGCUAGUCUUGCCUGCUAAAGUAGAUGUUUGGAUCCCAAACAUGGCACUUCACCAUGACCCUCAGUUAUGGGGAGAUGAUGCCCAUGUUUUUAAACCGGAGAGGUUCGAGAAAGGGAUCGUGAAAGCUACCAAGUACAAUGCGGUUGCAUUUAUUCCUUUCGGAAUGGGACCUCAAGCUUGUGUCGGGAUGACCUUUGCAAUCUAUGAAACAAAGACUGCUCUUUCCAUGAUUCUACAAAGAUACACCAUUUCUCUCUCUCCUGCCUAUGUUCACCAUUUCUCUCUCUCCUGCCUAUGUUCACUCACCCACACCUCGUAUCACAGUUCAACCACAGCAUGGGAUUCAAGUUAUACUCAAUUCACUGUCUAAUGAUGCUUAAACUAUGCGCUAUUGAUCUGCAACGCUGUAAUCAGUAAGUAAACUCUAGUGUCGGAUUUUAGUAAUGUUGUUUGGUUAGGCCUGCCAUGUAGUUUGCCAAUUCCCCAUGUUCGUAUAUCUGUGAAUUUUGUCAGGUUCUAGAAUUAUUCGAGUUCUUUAUUUUCUAUAAAAUAUC
rnacentral:lncRNA from 1 species